UCCCUGGUGGCUUAGUCGGUAAAGAAUCCACCUGCAAUGCAGGAGACUCGGGUUCGAUCCCCGGUCGGGAAG
rnacentral:tRNA from 1 species